rnacentral:misc_RNA from 1 species
AGAUAAAAAAUCUUUUAAGAAGUUUGGCUUGGUUGACUAAGAAUCCUUUCUUUCUAGGAAAUUUUAGACGAAGAAGAAAUAAGAAUCUCUAUAAUGGCAACUAAGGCAGUAGAAAUUAAAACACAGGUUCCUGUGCAGCAGUUUGCUCUUCUUCCCAAAAUCAUGAAUGGUGGAAUUGCAGGAAUUAUUGGUGUAACCUGUGUAUUUCCCUUGGAUCUUGUCAAGACAAGGCUUCAGAACCAAAAGGUGGGGCCUAAUGGAGAGAAAUUGUACAGCAGUAUGCUGGACUGUUUCAAGAAAACAUACAAGGCAGAGGGAUACUUUGGCAUGUACAGAGGUUCAGCAGUGAAUAUACUUCUGAUUACCCCUGAGAAAGCGAUCAAGCUGGCGGCCAAUGAUUACUUUAGACAUAGGUUAACCCGACCUGACGGUAAACUACCGGUAUCAAGGGAGAUGUUGGCCGGAGGCAGUGCAGGACUUUGUCAGAUCGUGAUCACGACCCCUAUGGAGUUGCUGAAAAUCCAGCUGCAGGAUGCAGGACGUGUAGCGGCUCAACUCAAGGCUGCUGGACAGUCUACCGCUCAUCUGCCAAAGAUAUCUGCUUUAUCCAUCACAAUGGAAUUACUCAAAUCUAAGGGAAUCCUGGGUUUGUAUCGUGGAACGUCUGCAACUAUGCUACGAGAUGUUAGUUUCUCCAUGGUUUACUUCCCUCUGUUCGCCAACCUCAACAGAAUGGGACCUAGGAAAAGUCCUGAUUCUAAUGAAGCAGUGUUCUGGUGGUCAUUCGUUUCAGGUAUGUCUGCUGGUUCUAUCUCAGCUGCUGUAGUAAACCCAGCAGACGUUGUGAAAACCAGAUUACAGCUCCUUAACAAGGGAGCAGCAGAGGAAUCUUAUUCAGGAAUAGCUGACGCAUUUAGAAAAAUCUACAAGAACGAGGGCCCUAGCGCAUUCUUAAAGGGAGCACUGUGCAGGAUGAUUGUAAUUGCUCCACUCUUUGGUAUAGCGCAGACGGUUUACUACUUCGGUAUAGCCGAGUACCUCAUGGGUAUGGAGAAGGCGAAGCAGACGGUCCUCCUCCCCGCCAAGAAGAUGGAGUAGAUCAUAUCCUUGACAUUUGACAUUUGUAUUCAUUUGUUCCCUGGUUCCUUAUAUUUAUAUCCUGGCUUUCAGUCUUUAGAUCAUUCACAUGACUUUCUUACUAGAUUCUUUAUUCUUUGUUCAAGUAUGGACAAGUUAUUUUUUUUUAUUUUUAUCUGUACAUUGUCAUUAUACAGUUAACAUUUAUUUACCUUGAUAUAAAAAUUGCCAACUUUUGAAUUGGAAGACGACUUUAAAGCAAUCUUUAUUGUGUAUGUGAUGUUGUCAAAAGGCGAUAAAUCAUUCCAUCAAAUAUUGAUAUAUUUCCUCUUCCUAUUAUGGGGUAAAUAUUAUCAAGACCGCUUUCUGAAGCUUCACUUAUAAUUUCUAUUUUUUCUCCCUUUCUGUCCUAAUCUAAUACCUAUCCUUCCCAUACGUUCCUGUCAUGUAUUGUCCUAACAUAUCCUAUUCCAGUCCGAUUCUGUCCUUCACUGUCCUAAAAUCAAAACAAAAAACGAUCUCUUAACAACCCUACAUCUGAUUUAAAAAGCAGGGUUGUCCAACCCAAGAAAAUAUUGUUAGGAACUUAGGUAAGAUUUAUUGUUGGUUUAACUAGUUUUACACUUGAAAACAUUUAAGCAGAGAAUUUAAUCUUUUUGUUACACAAUUAUAAUGUUUGUUAUAAUAGAAAUAUCAGUAGGCUGGAGCCAAUAUAUAUUAAUUGCAUAUGCUCUUGUAUAAAAUUAACCCACAGUAGAAAAUCCUUCAGUCUUUGAUUAUAAAUUUUAUUGUCGCACUAAGAAAAUGUAUUGUCGAUGAUUUUUGACUGCUUUCAAACCUUGUAAAUAUAAGCAUUUUUCAUGUCCAGAAAACCGCUCGUGUUCAGUCUCAGAAUAGAUUGAUUUUCUGUCAAUUUAUGAAGGACUAAGAAAAAUGUUGACUUACAAUAUUAUCAGGCUCUGGUUUGAUCCAGUAUUAUUUAAGGGUUAAUUGUAUUUCUUGGCUUUCUUAAAUAUAUAUUUUUCAUUAGA